rnacentral:lncRNA from 1 species
GCGACUGUGCGAAACGAUGGGAUGCAGAUCUCUACUAGAAUCAUAGCUUUUGAUAAGUGUGUUUUUGCACACUUAUUUACAUCACAAACAUGACUUAAAUAAAGUAAAAGGAUUGAAUUGUUAUUUAAUUUUGUCGAAUUCAUGCAAUGUAGGUGAUUCUAUGGAAAUAGUGGAAUUCAGGAGAAAAGAGCCGAAAAAGGACCAAAUUAGAGUAAAAUGAAAAUUCAGGGACCAAAUUGCAAUUAUCUGAAAGUUGACCCGAUGAACACGUCAAGCAAUUGAUCAAGCUAAGCACCAAUUGGAAGUUAUAAUGGAACAUUGGAGCAACUAGAAACAAGAGAGGAGGUCAAGGAGUGAAUGAAUGAAACUUGAGGAUCAAAAUGACUCAAAUUAGAAGUUCGCUCUACUAUGCGGUCGCAGAGUAGAAACCUAUGCGGUCGCAUAGGUAUAAUCUGUGCCCGAUUUUUGCAAUUUCCUUAUAUGAUUGCAACUCCUUUGGUAACCUAAUUUCGACGGGUUUAAAUAGCAAAUAAACAUCCAGAAGUCGCACGAACGAAUUGGGAGGCAACAACAUUCAUUUUGG